rnacentral:rRNA from 1 species
UGGCUCGGUGAGGCAGUCGGACUGGCCCAGGGAGGUCGGCAACGACCACCCAGGGCCGGAAAGUUGGUCAAACCCGGUCAUUUAGAGGAAGUAAAAGUCGUAACAAGGUCUCCGUAGGUGAACCUGCGGAGGGAUCAUUACAAGUGACCCCGGUCUAACCACAGGGAUGUUCAUAACCCUUUGUUGUCCGACUCUGUUGCCUCCGGGGCGACCCUGCCUUCGGGCGGGGGCUCCGGGUGGACACUAUGAACUCUUGCGUAACUUUGCAGUCUGAGUAAACUUAAUUAAUAAAUUAAAACUUUUAACAACGGAUCUUUUGGUUCUGGCAUCGAUGAAGAACGCAGCGAAAUGCGAUAAGUAAUGUGAAUUGCAGAAUUCAGUGAAUCAUCGAAUCUUUGAACGCACAUUGCGCCCCCUGGUAUUCCGGGGGGCAUGCCUGUUCGAGCGUCAUUUCACCACUCAAGCCUCGCUUGGUAUUGGGCAACGCGGUCCGCCGCGUGCCAAAAAUCGACCGGCUGGGUCUUCUGUCCCCUAAGCGUUGUGGAAACUAUUCGCUAAAGGGUGCUCGGGAGGCUACGCCGUAAAACAAACCCAUUUCUAAGGUUGACCUCGGAUCAGGUAGGGAUACCCGCUGAACUU